rnacentral:piRNA from 1 species
UAAAAUUUCCAUUUUGUGCAG